UUUCCCUACGCAGACCCGCGGAGGGCUCGCCGGCGCGCACCCCCGCCCGGGGCAGCCGGGCAACCUGCCCCGCGCGCCCCGAGAAGCUCCGCACACGCACACAGGCGGGUCCCCGAGCAAAGUCGCCCCCGGGGCUCCGGACAAACUUUGCUUCCUGCCCGUCUCCGGCGGCGCCGGGAACGGAGCCCCGCAGCUGUCACUGGAGAAGCCACGGGAAACCGACCGGGAGGCUCGCCGGGCGGUGCCGGGGACGGCGGGGACCGGGAAGGCGGAGUGGACGGGGACAAGCCAAGGAAGAUCUGAACACUAUCUGGAAUGACUCGCAAUGCAGCUUGUGGAGGUCCAGGAACCAGCACUGGACUUAGAGUCCAGACCACCUGCUCCAGCUUCUCCGUUUGUCCUGUGAGCCUUAAUCUCCUCACCUGCAGCCGGAAUGCAACAAUACCUAUGUCCCCAAGGAGUGUGACAAACGUCCCCAGCUCACAUUGACCUCAGCUGGCCUUUGUGCCUCUCCUUCUUUCUCACAUAACUGUAUGCCAUACCAAUGGUGAAAAGAACUGCUGUCCUCCAGAAACUGGUAUCUCAAUGUCACAUUGUCUGCGUGCAGGGGGCCAAGGCUGCUUAGAGCCUGUGAUCUAACUUAAGAAAUAAAACAAUAGCCUUUGAGAAGCUAUGGGUCCUAAGUGCCGCCCAGUGGCUUGGCCAGCUCUCUGGCCUCCAGCAGUUCACCAGGCCUGCUAUACAGAAGCCGUAGCUAAAUGACUUCUCUGAGGGGCUGUUUUGCAACAUCCGUGCAGGCAGGGUCUAGAGGCAGCGGCCCUGGGGCAGGGGCCCUGCUAAGUACAUUGUAUUUACUGGGAUGGUAAUUUCUUCAAAGCCGGGCAGUUGGGGAUCUGAAAGAUGUUAUGGGGGGCCCGGAGCCCACCAGUCCAUCUUGUGUAUGCAGCUGUUGUUUCAGUUUUUUCCAGCUCCAACAUUCCAAAACUUUAAAUAGACAGUGUGAAAGUUUGGAGGACAGAUUUUGCUGAAGUUGUCAGCAGAGCCUCUGUGGAAAUGGGGGUAGUGAGCUUGAAGUUUUGCUUGCUCGGUUACCAACAUAAAUGAGAGUGUGGUAUGUGGUCAGCAGAUUGGGAAACCAGCAGGUUAGAGAUUGAGACUGUGCUGUUGUAUAUCUGGUUUUUCUUUUUCUUUUUUUUCCCAGUAAACUUUUUAUUUUGAGAUACUGGUAGAUUCACAUGCACUUGUUAACACCUAACACAGAGAAAUGCUAUGCGUCCUCUACCCAGGUUCCCAUUGGUAACGUCUUGGGAAACUGUAGGAAAAUAUCACAACCAGGAUAUUGACGUUGAUAAAGUCAAGAUGCAGAACAUUCCAGCACAUCCUGUUGUCUUUUCUAGGCAGAGAUACUUCCCUCCCACCCCCAUCUUUUCCAUAACCCCUGCCAGGCUCUAAUUUGUUCUCCUGUUUCUAAAAUUUUCUCAUUUCGAGAAUGUUCUAUAACUUGAAUCACAGUUCAUUGAGGGACUUUGGGUCAUUACCUGUUUGGGGCUAUCACAAAUAAAGCUGCUUUCAGUGCUCACCUAGA